rnacentral:rRNA from 1 species
GUCUCUCGUUCUCUCAUUUACAAUUUAACACUUUAUCAGCCACGUUGCUCUCCAUCGAGCGAAUGGACGCCGAAGAAUCUCCCCUCAGUGGUGAAGACGCAGCCUACCUUUUUCUGUCUCUUGGCUAGUUUGUCUUCCUCUUCUUUUUGAGGGUAACGUAGUCAAAAUCCUUUAUUUCAGGGGAUUUCCCUUUUCUUUCCAAAUGAAUUUAUGCUUAGUCCGGAUCUCCCUCUUUUCCACUAAACCAUUUCAUUUCUAUAUGAAAAUAAGAGAUGCUUCUAGGGACAAUCAAGAUCACUAGGAAAGAGCUGAGUAGGCCUCGUCCUCUUCGUUCGCAACCUCGUCGCCGGCGCGGGGUCCUCGAGGUCGCCGCCGCGCUCCGCUCGACCGCCCAUCGUCGGGCCCCUGCGCCAAGCGGUGGCCGCGCCCGCCUGCGCCAUGGCUAGCAGCGCCAGGCCGUGGCCGCCCUUGCGAGCGCCCGCCCUGCGCUAGGCCUCGCCCGGUCCCCGACCGGCCGUGGCCGCGCCCGCCCGCGCCAGGAACCGCCCGUCCGAUCCCGCGCCAGGCCGAGCUACUGGGCGAGCGAGUUGGGCCAGAACGAAAAGAAAGCGACGGGAGGCGGUUGCGGGGCGCCGAAGGCUUCUUCUCCCGGCGGCCCUCAGCGCCACUGUUGCGCCCGGCGAGGCCCCUCGCGCGCAGCUGUUGGCUGACGGCGGCCAACAACCAUGGCCAUCCACGGCGUGUCGUGUUGCCCAACCCGCGGCGACUCGUGCGUGGCGCGGCUCCCCUCGUCCGCCCAUGGCGGAAGCAGCCCUGGUCGUGGCCUCCCUCUGGAGCGCGCGAUGCGGCUCUCGCCAUGGCGCAGCCCUCACCGGCCUCCCACGGCGGUGCGUGACAGCAGCGGCUCCCUCCCGGCGCGGAGGCGGUGCCCAGCGACGCCGUUAAAAGGCCGGCUACCUGAAGCGGUCUGCCCGGCACUGAUGUACGCCCUCUGAGGCUCGGUGCCCGUACAAGGUGAGGCCCGGCCUCGACCACUAGGCAGGCGACGCCCUCCCUACCGCAGCUCACGGCGGAGCCCGCAGAGGCUCCUCGGUGCGCUGCACCCGCAUCUUCUACGUCCCGUUGACGACGAAGGCCGCCGAUGAAGGCGAGGCAGCGCACGACGCGGCUCCCGGCAACUGAUGCAGAACGCCUGCACGGAUGCACCUGUGGUGGUGGUCUCUGUGUUGAGCUGAAGCAAUCGAUAGAAUCAAUCAAUUCGUAUCCAUAGGACCACACCAACGAAGAGAAAGGCAAACCUUAUCCACAGGACCACACCAACUUGAUACAACAUCAUUACUAUUCAUUACAAUAGUAGUGUAUUUCUGUUAAGUACGAUGUAUUCUGGAAUGUAU